rnacentral:rRNA from 1 species
AUAGAGACUCAGAGCUGCAUAUCAAUAAGCGGAGGAAAAGAAACUAACUAGGAUUCCCUCAGUAACGGCGAGUGAAGCGGGAAGAGCUCAAAUUUGAAAUCUUCAAGGUUUUACCUUGACGAAUUGUAGUUUAAAGAAGUGUUUUCUGUUAGGUGUUUAGGUAAAAAGUUCUUUGGAAUAGGACAUCAUAGAGGGUGAGAAUCCCGUAUUUGAUCCGUACUUUCCUAGCUACGUUGUGAUACACUUUCAAAGAGUCGGAUUGUUCGGGAAUGCAGUCCAAAAUGGGUGGUAAAUUUCAUCUAAAGCUAAAUAUUGGCGAGAGACCGAUAGCGAGCAAGUACCGUGAGGGAAAGAUGAAAAGAACUUUGAAAAGAGAGUUAAACAGUACGUGAAAUUGUCAAAAGGGAAGCGUUUGACACCAGUGUUGUUUUUCCGAAAAUCAAUUACGAAUGUUUUGUUUUUGAGGAGUUAUGACUUCAUCGGCUUGCUCCUUUCUUUAUGAAACUUUCUUAAUGCACUUUUCGGUUAACAAGUCAACAUCAAUUUCUUUUGUUGUAAAAGGGUAUGAGGAAGGUGGCUUUCUCUUCGGCGCAAGUGUUUAUAGCCUUUGACGCCUCUGCAAUCGGAGAGAUUGAGGUCUGCAGCGUAGAUCCUUCGGGGUUAGAUACAUUUGUGCUAAGUUAUAGUUUUUCAUAGACAACAUGUUGACUAUGAUUAAUCAUGUAGCUUACUCGCUUAUGCUAUUUUACCUACGCUUAGGAUGUUGAAGAUAUGCGCGACACG